AGGGUAACAGAGCCCAAGUGGGAUCUGGGGUGUUGGUAUUCUUGGUCCCUUGAAAGGCAAAACUCUGGGGUGAGCCAUUGUGGAAUAGUCGCUGUUUACAUUUGUUCUAAAGAGGACACUGACGUGGGCUUUGAUUUCUCUAAACCCAUCCAAAGACAUAGAUUUCCUACUUAAACCCCUUACCCUCCUCCCCCACCCCUGCAUUUCUGUGCCUAGAAGUGCCGAAGGUAUAGAAUCGCCAAGAGAUGCCUGCCCCGGAGAGUCUGAGAAGAAUCAGAGUUCGUAGGACUGCACAGGACCUGGGGAAGAGGAGGCAGAUGAGAAACUGGAGCUGGACGGGGCAGGGACGGGGAAGACACGGAGGGCGAGGAUGGCGAGGGGCGGGGCCCCGGGGUCUGAUUGCUGGCUCUGCCCCCCUUACCAGGCUGACCCGCUUCUAGGUCUUUUCAAGGAGGACCCUUCUGAGAACCUCGGAUCAGAAUCAGAAAGGCCCAUAGAACUGACCUGGCUUCCUGUGCCCUGCGUAGACAGACCCGGGAAGCCCCUGUGACCUGGGUUUUCCUACAAACUCUUUCACUCUCCCUCAUUUUCCCAGGGACUUUGUCCCUGAGAAAGACCAACAAGGGAUGUGGCUUAAAACCGCGAACCAAAGAUGACAUCUGGCAGCAAUCCUUGAAGUCAUAGCGCUACUUCCCAAGCACCGAGGUUGAACCAAGUACCUUGGUUACCUGAGGGGACUCGACGGAGGGUCCACUCUCUUUUGAAGUCCACUUUAGUCUUAGGGGGCUACAAAGGCAAUAGAAAACACAGUCCCUUUCAGAAGUAGCUUGUGAUUUGGAAAUUCCGUUCCUUAACAUGGAAGAUACCUAAGAUGCGUAGAUGGCAAACACAUACCAAACAGUAAGAAUUAGAAACGAUUAAUGAAGUUGUUGCCAAGAAGUAAGAAUGAAUCCGAUCCCAAGAUCAACCUUUAAAAAAAAAAAAAAAGCUCCCCCAUAUACCCACUGCUCCUGGAAAUGCCCUGAUGUUGAGACCUCCAGAGGAGGUGUCUAGGAACCCAGGAGCAGCGAACCAGGAGGAUGAUUCCACACCUCUGCACAGGCAGGCUCGGGCCGGUCCUCCAGCCCUUGCCAGAUCACCUCCUCCCAGCUCUGCUGGGCGACAUGUGCUUCAGAAGGGCGUUGGAAGAACCCUGCAAGGAUGAGAAAAUGGACCGUGAUAGGAAAGAGGGAACAGUUCCCCAAGGGUUUUUUUGUCUGGUCUUGGACUUGUGAGGGACACUUUUGACAGUCCAGGGUAUAAAUGUAUCAGGGGAGGACCAGGGAGGACCAAGUGCCUACUGUUGUGGCUGGAGAAGGGAAGCUGCAGGUUCCCUAGAGAGUCGACACGGGGAGUCUGCGCGGAUUUCGGGAGGACCCGCCGGGUGGAGAGGGGAUUUUUUUUACCCUGUCCAACCCAGUUCUGGGCAGGACUGAGAUGUGAGAUUCUCUGUUUAUCACAAGUACACACCAUGUGUCAGCAACUAAAUCUGGAAAUAUCAAAAUAUACCCACACUGAGUAUAGCCUACAUUCUAGGAACAUUCUAGAAUGAGGUUCUCAAAAUAGCCAUAGGAUAGCAGGAUGAUUGCUCCCAUUUUGCAGAUGAGGAAUCUGAGGCUUAGUUGUUCUCAGCCUCAUCAGAAACUAGAGUCAGUUAAUAAAUCCCUGAUGUUGGACACAUUCUCGAAGUGCCUGAUCUCCUCCAGGGAGGUCAGAAGAGGAGUCGGAGAGAGAGAGCUGCUGUGGCCAGGUCCCCUUCUCCGGUGUGCUGGUCCCUGAUCCUCAGAGUCAGGAAUGGAGUGUGUCCAUCACACGGGGGGGUCUCACCUCUGUUCACAGUCCCUCCCGAGACUCAAGCAUUGUCUGUUCUCUCCUCCUUCAUGGGAGUGCAGUCAGCAUUUAUUUUUUGGUUCCUGAGAAGUUAUUUUCUCUAUUUAGCAUGUGCCUAAUCUUGAAUAUCCCUUCCCACUCUCUCCUGACUUUAUCAGUUGGCAUCAGGGCUUGUUGCAUUAGACAUAUGUACAUAGUGUGCUCGCGUGUGUAGACACGCACACACACACACACACACACACACACACACACACAUGGCCUUGUGGCCCUUCGUUGAAGCUCUCCUAAACAUCGUGACCCAUUUUUAAGGAGGUGGUGUCAUUUGCAAGGUGACCGUCCCUCCUCUUUGUUCUACGUUCGCUCCUCUCUGCCCGGCAGAUCGAAUGAGGCUCAGAGGCUGACGAGGUGGAGGACAGAGGUUUGCACAAGGGCUGGGGAGCUUCAGGAGCCAGAUGGCUGAGGGCCGGCUGCCGAAGUGCUCUGUUGAUGUUUCCCUUCUUGGUCUGCUGUGACGUUUCCUAAUUGCCUUAGAGAGACUGUCCUGGUCACGAGUGUCAGGAUGACUGUUCAACCGCUGAGUGCUUCUUCUCUUUGUCCCACGAAGGAGAGUUCUUGAGUUGGAAUAGUUCACUGGGCUCAGGAGCCCCGAGGAUCUGGUGUCGAAUGCACCUUGUAGACGAUGGUCCCGAGCACCCAUGUGUCUUCUUGGGCAUCCUUCUCCUCCCACGUUCAAAGCCACGCUGCUGCUUUUCUGGCACCUAUAGUUACUGUGAGGUGGGGCACGCAGACCAUGGCAUAGAUGAGGAUCUGAGCAGGGAUUUUAAAGGUUGUCUUUCAAGCUGGCCCUGAAACGUAGCCGAGACAGAGCGUUGUUGAUGUUUAACAGCUAUUUUGAGAUCCUGUUGCUGUCUGCAAGUGCAGGAUGACAUUCUCCCAGGGAUGUUGAGCUAUGCAGAAAGUGGAGCACCCCAAAGAAUGAUCUGGCCAACAGCAUUACUUUGGAGCCAUAUUUCAAAGCACAGAACUCUCCAGGGAACAAGAACCAAAUUGUUUAAAAUGGAGUCAUUCCUCAAAUUAACUUCCUCAGAUAAGGUGACAGCGAUCUGCAGAAACCAACAAGACAGAGCAGAUUAUCACUCACAAGUCCCUCUUCUGUACCGUGCCAGCCAAACAAGGCGUCUGCAUUUUUUGCAGUUCUAGAACAUUCCUCAUUAGUGGUAGCCCCGGGUCAUAACCUCUUCCAGUUAAUUCUCCUUCAGACCUUUGGGAAGGGUUUAAGAUGAACCCUGGAAAGAUAUUAACAUAACACAUAGCCAAAGCCGCAGCUGCCUUUUGAAUUAAUAAGGUUAAUUGUUCUCCAGCAAACAUGAGUUCGUCUUCGGCAUUUUAAAUGCUUCUCAUUGAUCUGACAUUUUGCCGUUUCAGGAUUUUAAAGGGCUCGAAUCAAAGAGUAUUGAUAACUGAGCAAAUAGUAAAGGUCCAGAAAUAUAAAGAACAUUGUCAGUUUCGCCAUGAAAAACAAUCAUAGCCUUUUGAAUUCAAUUGAGGUUUUUACAUUAGCCGUCUAAGACUUAUUGAAUCAUUUCUAUUCUCGGUCAAGCUAAUUCAAGCGAAGGAACAGUAUUGACUUUUUAAAUCUAUUUUACCUUUUUUUUAAUCUUAAGUUUAUUAGGUUUGUAGACACAGCUCUGGGGCCAUGAUCACUAGGGAAAUGAUAGAACUUAGAAGACUCCAAUGAUGAUUUUGUAUGGCUCCUCGGGGUCGUCUUGGAGAAUUCUGGUGGAUCGGGGAAGAUGUAUGUGGCACUUGUGACAUUCAUGCUACCCCGAUUUUUUUCAUGGGGAAGGAUGUCAACUGUCUCGAUUCUCUUCAAGAUCUUAAGUUAAGAAUAACAUUUUCAUAGAAAGUACAUUCACUGCCAGGUACAAGUAAUUACAUGGCUAGAUGUGACUUGGUUGCUUGAGGGUCCCUGAAGAUUUUUUUUUAACCAGCUGUUUUAAAAUUCUGAAUAUUAGUCUUAUUCGUCCCCCUGCUAAAUUUAAAAGCAUACACUUGCCAAAUUAAUCGGUAGAAUUCAUCAUCGUUGAUAUCACACUGGAAUGUUUGUGUAUGUGUGUUUAUGUAUAGUAUAUAUAUAUUUCAAGCUGAGUAUUCAGAAAGAAUUAGAUGAGUUCAUGGGUGGCUUGAAUAAGAAGUAGAUCAUAAAAAUAAAAGAUAAUGAUAUUCUCAGACAAAAAAAAGAUGAGCCAUUUAUUUUCCACUCAUGAAAUAUAAGACCGUGGCGUAGGGUAUAGACUGGUCAUCUCCCAGAAGAAGGUCAUUGCAUUAAACAGCGUAUACUAAAGGGUUUGUGUCUGAGUCUGCUUUGAACCCAGUCGGGAUGGAGCUCAUAUGCAGAGGCUUUCCAUUCAUAGCCACCUUCAAACACCGUCUAAAACUCACGUCAGAAGUGGCUUGAUCUCGUGUACGGUGGAGCCCAAAGCGGGCUGCGAGCUCCUCAGCUCAGUGGUCUUCGUGUGGGGUUAGAUCUUCACUUACAAUCACAACGGUUUAUAUCUGUCAUGUUUUAAUCCACUGCAUGAGGAAGUACUGAUAAUUGUAUUAAAUAUUUCCAAGCAUAGCUACAAAAAUUACACGUUUGCUUAACACCUUUCUAUGAUAGAGGAAGCAUAUACUAUGGUUGUCUUCUUGUAGUACGUCUUUUAAUUUUGUUCAAUGUGUUAUCAACUGUUUUAAGGAAUGGGAUUAUGAAAUGUGUGUGCAAACUGAUAUGUACAUAAAUCCCGAGGCAAAAGAAGUGCCCAAUCAUACGGUGUAAAAAUGUAAAUACAGGAAAAUUUCAUUUUUCUAAUAAAGAUAAUUUCUG
rnacentral:lncRNA from 1 species